GUUUACGGUAUAUAACUUUUUAUUGGUAGAGUAUUGCAAGUUAUUUCAUUACAACUACUCAAAUACCUCCUACAACCUAUCACUAUAUUAGUAUUAUAUUCAAGACAAUUAACAAAUUUGGUUGUGGAUUACCUGCAAUGCAUUGUAGCUGCCACAUGAUGCUGCCAUAUGAUUCGUCAUCAAAAUGCUGACGCCCAGGGCCGUGCCACCUUUGGGGGGGGGGGGGGGUAACACCCCCAAAAAAGUAAAUUAUGGAAAUUUCAGGGAAAUGUUGUUUUGCGAAAGAUUUUGG